GGGGUUGUGACUCAAUGGUAGAGUGCUUGUCUAGUAUGUAUGAGGCACUGGGUUCGAUUCUCAGCACCACA
rnacentral:tRNA from 1 species